rnacentral:tRNA from 1 species
UGGGUUGUGGCUCAGUGGUAGAGUGCUCACCUAGCACGUGCUAGGUGCUGGAUUUGAUCCUCAGCACCACAU